GGCCCGGCCGCCCGGGACCCCGGCCAGCCUCGCGCCUGCAGGGGCCCGAGACCCCCACCCGCCGGCUCUGCUUGCCUCCAUCCCCCCAGCCCCGGGCCAAGCCCCCAGCCCAGGCCACCCAGCGGCUCCUCGGCACCAACCAAAACCGGGGUGCCCUGGCCGAGGGGGUCCGCCUUCUCUGGCCUCAGCCUCCUGACUUGCAGCACAUAUGUAAAGGCAGCCGCUGUGCGGGGCUCGGGCAGAGGGGGUCCCCUUGGGGAGCCAGGCGGGACAGGGGAGGCCACGGUCUCUGGAGUGAGGCGCAUGUGGGGUCACGCUGCUCUCGCAGCUUCGGAACGCUCCCGGAGCGUCACCUCUGGCCCGGGCCCGGCGGUUCCGCAGUGACCGAGACAAGACCAGGCUCUGAGGUCCGCGGUGCAGCAGGGCCGGCCUGACGGUGGCCGUGCUGACAGUGCCAAUAGCGGCGUGGGCCUGGUACUGCCCUCGCCGCGUGCCAGGCCUGUGGUCAGCUCGCGGGGGCCUCACGACACCCCCUGAAGCGGGCUUCCUCGUUGCUCCCCCUCUACAAGCUGAAGAAACUGAGGCACGGCGAAGUUGAGGGACUCGCCUGAGGUCACCCAGCUAAUAAUUAGCAGAGCCAAGACUUAACGCCCAGCAGCGUGACUCCAGGAGACAGGAAGGACCGGGCGGCUGAGGAGUGCAAGCCCCUCAUCGGGGGAGGUUUCCAGCACCCCAUCUGGCCAUCUGUAGCCGGCAGCCCACCCCGCUCCCCUGAGCCGCUGAACCCCAGGGCCAGCGCCCAGGGCCAAGGAAGCCACCCUCGGCGUGGGGGCCCACAGACCCAGCUUCAGUGCCGGCUGGGUGAGCUCAGAGCCAAGCGUCCACUUGUUGUAAAAGGCACGUUGGAAGAUCAGCUGAGCCCGUGUCUCGGCACGGUGACUACAGAUGUAAUGAAGUGAAGGACAUUUGGGACGAGGUCACCCUGGAUUUAGUGGGUCCUAAACCCAAUGACGAGCAGCCUUCAAAGAAGAGGAGAGAACACAGAAACACAGAGGGAAGACGGCCCGCGUGAUGACAGAGGCAGAGGUUGGAGCCAUGCAGCCACAAGCCGCGGAACGCCAAGGGCCGUGAGCGUCCAACCGUAGCUGGGAGAGAGGCCUGGGGCAGAGUCCCCUCUGAGCCUCCAGAGGGAACCAACCCUGCCACACCUGGACCUCGGACUUCUGGCUUCCAGAA